rnacentral:rRNA from 1 species
GGGUGAGUAACACGUAUGCAACCUGCCCCUGUCAGGGGGACAACCCGCCGAAAGGCGGGCUAAACCCGCGUACAUGCCACCGGGGCAUCCCGGAGGCAGGAAAGGCUUCGGCCGGACAGGGAUGGGCAUGCGGCGCAUUAGGCAGUAGGCGGGGUAACGGCCCACCUAACCGACGAUGCGUAGGGGUUCUGAGAGGAAGGUCCCCCACACUGGUACUGAGACACGGACCAGACUCCUACGGGAGGCAGUAGUGAGGAAUAUUGGUCAAUGGUCGGGAGACUGAACCAGCCAAGCCGCGUGAGGGAGGAAGGUACAGAGUAUCGUAAACCUCUUUUGUCAGGGAACAAAGACUGGGACGCGUCCCCGGAUGAGUGUACCUGAAGAAAAAGCAUCGGCUAACUCCGUGCCAGCAGCCGCGGUAAUACGGAGGAUGCGAGCGUUAUCCGGAUUUAUUGGGUUUAAAGGGUGCGCAGGCGGUCUGUUAAGUCAGCGGUCAAAGCCCGGGGCUCAACCCCGGCCCGCCGUUGAAACUGGCAGUCUCGAGUUGGAGAGAAGUAUGCGGAAUGCGCGGUGUAGCGGUGAAAUGCAUAGAUAUCGCGCAGAACUCCGAUUGCGAAGGCAGCAUGCCGGCUCCACACUGACGCUGAGGCACGAAAGCGUGGGUAUCGAACAGGAUUAGAUACCCUGGUAGUCCACGCAGUAA